CAGAAAUAUAAUAUAAUAAAUAUAAUAAUAUAAUAAAUAAAUAUAAUAAAUAUAAUCAAACAAUUAUCCUAACUCUAAAAUAUUUAUUUACAUUAUUUACAUUGUACAGGGAUGGUCACGGUUGGUCUUCAAAAAUAAUUGUUUGGGGCCUAAUUUGUUGCUGGAGCAAAUGAAUUUGGAGCCGUAAUUUAAUUUGUUCUAAUUGGAUUUUUUUGGUCUCUGCCUCUAAUUUAAUGGUCUCCUUCUCCACCCGGACAAUUUCCUUCUCCAUGAGGACCUGUUGAAGGUCCUCACUUCUCCUCCGCUUCGUUGCCGGGGGUGGGGAUGGACAGGAAGGGGUUGCCACUGCUGGUUCUAUCGGUGGUGGUGGUGUUGAGCUGGUAGUGGCACUUUCCAAGUCUGAAACAAAAUGUGAAUUUAUUAAUUCUGGGCAAUAAGGCUAGUCCUGCUUAUUCAACUAACAAACCAUCCUCAAUAAAUAUGCUAGGCUACAUACCUUCUUCCAACUGCUCCGGCGGUUGAGGACAUCCGCUGUCCACCCCGUCCAACCCGACGAAGGCCGGUGAAUCCUCCCCGAAAAUAGCGACGAUAAUGUCACUAUAGGGUGAUCUUUUCGGGGGAGGACCACCACCAGUGGGAUGGUGCUUUAGAGAAGAGACGUCCUUCUUGGCCCGGGACAGGAGGUCUUUCCAUUUCUUUUUGAUGUCACCAUCCGUCCGAUGACAGCCUGAGUCUGAACAGCUGUUCAGACUCUCCAUUAUAAAUUUCCAUGUCUCUUGCUUACUUUUGUUUGUUACGACAUUGGACUGCUUGGCAGUCAGUGCCGUCUUAUUCUCACUGUAUAAUUGUAUUAAUUUUCUAAUUUCAACGUCGGUGAAGUUAACUUUUCUCUCUCUGUUUUCCUCCAUCAUGUCGGUUUGUCGGAUUUGUCGGUUUGUCGGAUGUUGGUAAAAUAGUAAACAGCUGUUGUCACGAGGUAUCCUAGCAACGCGGUGAUAUGCGCAUCACAUGGAACAUUCACAUGGCCGCGCAUGGCUAAGACCGGGCGUAGUUGAGACCAGUCGUAAGUCCCGUUGGUGCAACCGGCGUUAGUUCCAUUCUAACGCCAGGUCGUAACUAAGACCUACUUAGCAGUUACGACCAGGCUUAGUUACGGCCAGUUGGUGCAACCGGCCCCAGGGGUCUUCAAUUAAAAUUUAACAAGGUCCAGUUACUAAAAAUUCCUUCCAAGAAAGGUCCGAACCUACCACAUCCUAAUAGCCUUCUUUUGUCAAAUACAUUAUUACAAUACAUAUUACCUUAUAUUUUCAGAUGUAUUUAUUUUCAAUUUCCAAAUAGCUUACUUUUAACCAUGAAAAACAAGUAAGUCAAAGUAACGCAUAUUAACAUUUAAAGUAAACAAAACAGGUACAUUAGGCCUGCAAUUCAAGUAAACAUAAAAAGUGCAUAAGGCCUACAUGUGAAGUAAGCAGAACAGGAACACUAGGCCUACACUUCAAAUAAACACCAAAUGCAUUAGGCCUACAUUUCAAGUAAGCAAAACAGUGUCUCAAGUGGUGUUAGACCCAACAGGUCCUCACAGAUCUUUCUUGUCUUGAUGAAACAAUCGCACAUAAACCAAAAGCUGGGCAUUAUCCGUUACAUCUGAAGACUCAUCAAUGGCUAAGGAUGG